rnacentral:rRNA from 1 species
UAACUAGCCCUAUCGGCUUUGGCUGAUAGCUGGCUUCUUAGAGGGACAAUUGGCGUUUAGCCAAUGGAAGUGAGGCAAUAACAGGUCUGUGAUGCCCUUAGAUGUUCUGGGCCGCACGCGCGCUACACUGACCGAGCCAGCGAGUUUUUUCCUUGGCCGGAAGGC